CCAAGACUGCACUCAAGCCUUCCCUGAUGAUGUCUGUUCAUCCUUCAGUGUUAAUACCUUGUUACUUCUGUGUCAUCUCUUGCAGACACUGAACGGGCAGUGGAAAUUCUGACCAGAUACCAAAGCACCCUGCAGUCCCCAGAGGAGCAGGAGCUGAAGGCCUCCAUUGGAAAAGUCUCACACAUCUUCCAAAGUGAACUCUUCCAGGCUCUGCUGGAUAUCCAUGAAUUCUACGAUUUCACACUGCGCUCUGCACCCCUGCAGCCUCCCAGCCCAGAUGCAUGUUGUGGCACAGCCAGGCAGCAGCAUGGGGCCAGUGAGCCCAGCUCCGUGGCCACACCCAGAGAGCCCCAAAACCUACCUGAGAAUCCAUCCUGGGAUGGUGAGCGGACACUUUCUGCAGGGGCUGGGGACAGCACACCAGGGACACCGCCACGGCUGGUGAGGGUGACAGCACGGAGGACGGAGGCACCGGCCAGCGUCUGCAGCCUGGUGCUUGGCUCUCGCAGCGCCCUGCCCCAGGACUUCAUGGGAGAGGAAGGAAGCGACAACAGGGGCUGAAAUGCCAGCAACACCAGAUAAAACCUAGCUCCAUGCCCCCCUCAUGCCAUGUAAAUAGCACCAUUUCCAGGGGUUUCUUGACACUUUGCUGAAAUUAGCACCUGUAAAAAGAACAGCUGCCAAAGCUGAAUUUAAAUAAGAUGGGCAGGCUUCUGGUAGGAAGAGGGUACAGGAUGAGAGCACUCUUGGUUUCCUUUGAGUCGCUUCCCUCCAUGAAGACACCUGUCUGGAAAUCAUCUCCCAGCUCCUUUAGCCCUGCUCAAUGCCCUUGUCACUGGGGCGAGAUGCCCACAGCUGCUUGAAGGUGCUGGGCACUGUGCCUGCCCUGCCAGACCCAGGUCUGGGCACCCCAGUGCAGGUGCCUGCACUCUUUGGGCUCCGGCAGUGCCACUCCCAGUAGCCAAAACACUGCUACUCACUGAAGCAAGCUGGAAAAGUGCAGGAUGCAGAUGCCCCUGGCCAGCCAGCCCUGGCCUCCUCUUGAGCUCAGUAAUGUCUCCCAAGUCCCAUGCAGCAUUAGGGAUCAUUGCAAGCAGGUGGCAGCAACCAGGGAAUUUUUUUUUCCUUUUAAUUGGGACUAGCAGGUGACACAUGCAGUUCUCUACAAAUGACUAGGAAUUAAACAAGUCUCAUGGCAGCUAAAAUGGGACGUGCAGGUUUUCAGGAGGGGAGCUGUGAGCAGGUAGAGAAGGACUCCAUCAGAGUUGCAGUGGCUGUGGCUCAAGGCCCCUCCACUUGCAGGUGGUGAUGAGGCACUAACAGAUAAGAGAGCUGGGGGAAUCGGCUGAAGGGUUUAGAUAGUGGGGCCACCCCUGAGUUUGCAAGUUGGCAAAUGGAGUGGGGUGGAGGCAGCAAUGCUGGCACGCCAGGGCUGGCGGCAAGGCUGUUCCCCUGGGGGGUGCCCAUUGCAUGGCUGCCCCAUCUGCGGGGCUGCCGGAGACCGAGCAGGGAGAGGACCAGACCGACCUUGUGGAGUAUACACUCCAGCCUGCCAUGGGGG
rnacentral:lncRNA from 1 species